rnacentral:lncRNA from 1 species
CUGCAACCAUGUGUCUGGUUCUCCUCCUCCUGCUGUGGCUGAGCUGUGCGACUCCAAACCAGGAGACAGGCAGCUGCUCCCAACCCCAGCCCCUCUGCUGCUUUGGAACAGAUCACCACUGCAAGAGAGGAAGCUGCUACUGUGAUGAAUUCUGCCACGAGGUGUCAGACUGCUGCCCAGACCACCGCGCCCUGUGCACCCUGGAUAACUCACACGCAGGCUCCUUCCCACCCCUGGCGGAGCCGGAUGCUGUGAUGGACAGAGCUUCUCAGAAUACCAAGAUGGUGCUGCAGAUGGUGCUGAGGAGGGAGACCCCCCCGAGCCCUGCAAGAAGCAACCUAGACUGGAUACAGAAUGUGGUCCAGCAGCUUCUGCACACCAGCCUCCCAGGGAGGCCCCUCUCCAUCUCCAUGAAGAAAAUCAAGAAGAGAGCCUGACAUCUCCCAUGAAGCUCCUCCAGGGCCCUGUGAUGCAGAGCCCACCCUAUUCCCCUCCCCCAGCAUCCCCAGGUCUGCUGGGGCCUUACCACUGGGCCCACUGUGCUUGUCUCUUGGUUUCUAUCCUGCGUGCUUCUAUAUUGGUUCAACCAGAGGAAGACGGAAAUCUGCAAUAGUCAUAAACACAUUUAAAUCAGCCAUACAUGGCUGGGUGGCUCAGUCAGUUGAGUAUCCAAAUUCAGCUCUGGUCAUGAUCUCACAGUUCAUGAGUUCAAGCUCUGCAUUGGGCUCUGUGCUUACAGCCCAAAGCCUGGAGCCUGCUUCGGAUUCUGUGUCUCCCUCUCUCUCUGCCCCUCCCCUGCUCUCUCUCUCUCUCACUCUCUCUCUCAAAAUAAAUGAACAUUAAAAAAAUUAAAUCAGCCAUACAGAUUAUAA